rnacentral:rRNA from 1 species
AUUGAACGCUGGCGGCAGGCCUAACACAUGCAAGUCGAACGAGUGGCGGACGGGUGAGUAAUGUCUGGGAAACUGCCCGAUGGAGGGGGCUAACUACUGGAAACGGUAGCUAAUACCGCAUACCAUCGGAUGUGCCCAGCUGGGAUUAGCUUGUCGGUGAGGUAACGGCCCACCUAGGCGACGAGCCCUAGCUGGUCUGAGAGGAUGACCAGCCACACUGGAAAUGAGAGACUGUCCAGACGCUGACGGGAGGCAGCAGUGGGGAAGAUUGCACAAUGGGCGCAAGCCGGAUGCAGCCAUGCCGCGUGUAUGAAGAAGGCCUUCGGGUUGUAAAGUACUUUCAGCGGGGAGGCGUUACCCGCAGAAGAAGCACCGGCUAACUCCGUGCCAGCAGCCGCGGUAAUAC